rnacentral:rRNA from 1 species
AAGAUGAUGAGGUGAAUAGGUUCGAGGUGGAAGCGUGGCGACACGUGGAGCUGACGAAUACUAAUCGAUCGAAGACUUAAUCAAUUU